rnacentral:sRNA from 1 species
AGAGAAGAGGAGGUAUCUUGCAGUGGGCCUCUGUCCCAAAAACAAGCAGAAUUUUUUCUUUCUCAACAGGCUUCUUUGCUAAAGAAUGAUGAGACUAAGGCCCUCACUCCAGCUUCCUUGCAGAAGGAAUUAAACAAUUUGUUGAAAUUUAAUCCUGAUUUUGCUGAAGCGCAUUAUCUCAGCUACUUAAACAACCUCCGUGUCCAAGAUGUUUUCAGUUCAACACACAGUCUCCUCCAUUAUUUUGAUCGUCUGAUUCUUACCGGAGCCGAAAGCAAAAGUAAUGGGGAAGAGGGCUAUGGCCGGAGCUUGAGAUACGCCGCUCUGAAUCUUGCCGCCCUGCACUGCCGCUUCGGUCACUAUCAACAGGCAGAGCUCGCCCUGCAGGAGGCAAUUAGGAUUGCCCAGGAGUCCAACGAUCACGUGUGUCUCCAGCACUGUUUGGUGAGGCCAUCCUCUGGUCUUGGGAGUUUUGUUCACGGGUUGAAUUGGCCUUCACAAGGCCCCGUUGAAUUGGGUUGUUUUGCAGUUGGAGCAGAGAUCUUCAGCAGCAAAAGGAAACAAAGCUGGCUUUAUGUGCUGGGGCAGAAGAGAUCCGAUAGCUAUGUUCUGCUGGAGCAUUCUGUGAAGAAGGCAGUACAUUUUGGGUUACCG